GUGCUGAAAAGAAAUGGGGAUUUUUCCUCUGUGGUUAAAGGGGAACGAAGUGCAUUAUAUGCUGCAGAAAGUCUUUUUUUCACUGCUAAUUAGCAACUAUAAAGGGAGAUGACUUAUAAAUAGGAGCAUCCCACAGCACCACGCCGAGGAGCCGAGGGGAAAUGCGGAUAAAAUUGGGGGAUUGGAACGCCGGCCUCGCGCCUUCCCCCUGCUUUUUCCUUAAAAAAGAUAUAAAAAUAAAUUAUUGGGUUCCUUUUUAGGAAAAUCGCCGGAAGAGGAGCUGGGAAAGGCUCGGGAGAACUCGGAGAGAGAGAUGAAGGAGGCUUCACCCACAAGAGGGAGCUCAGUGAACACGAAUAGAAAAAGCCUAAACUCUUGAAAUUGCCGUGAAAUUUCCCCUCUGCCCGGAAUUAAAUGGAAAAAGCACAGCGGGAAGCUCCAUGAAUUCAUUUUUUCGCGCUUAAAUUCCCAGAAUUUCCCUGGGAAUGAUCAAGGACCAGUCGUGGCACAAUCACAGCUCCGCUGAUCCAAGGAUUCCCAAGUUUGCUGGAGCAGAGGAGUUCCUUAGCACCAACUAAUAGAGGUUUAGAGGAGAUAAAAUCAGAUUUUUGGCCUUGUGCAGAUCUGUAAAUCUGCUGCUGGUUCAUACUUUAAGAGAGUUUAUGCUGUGAGCUGUGAAAGUGAGGUUUUUUUCCCUUCACUUAAAUCAAGAGCACAAUAAAAAAUUAUUAAUUCUCACAAAUUUGGGCAGAGAGGGAAGGUGGAGAAGGCCUUGGGUGAUGUCCUUGUUGAUGUUGCGAAAGUCAGUUUUCUUCU